rfam:Gracilibacter sp. BRH_c7a BRHa_1005192, whole genome shotgun sequence.
UGGACAAUAUCCCUAAGGGGAAUUGUACCUUAAACAUAAGUUAAGAUUGUCUACAUAAAAGUAUUUUUUUGUUAAUUGAGAAGAAUAUGAGCAUAAGCCGCUUGGAUAUAGUACUGAGACGGUGAA